GCCCGGCUAGCUCAAUCGGUAGAGCGUGGGACUUUUAAUCCCAAGGUUGCGGGUUCGAGACCCGCGUGGGGCG